GUUUCAAAUUUCAACUGACAAUAUGGGCCACGCUGCAGAAAAUGCUCAAGAAGUCGGUGAAAUUAAAGUCCUAUGUAAGUUGAGAAGAUAGCCAGGGAGCCUGUUGCUGGGUGGAGCUGUCUUGUUACUGUACGUGACCAUGUCUGAAAAUAAGUGGAACUAGUCAGUUUCUGAAGCAAAGAAGAUGGCCAGGACUCCAUGCUGAUAGAUGGGAGCCAGAUAGAGUUGGUAGAGCUACCCAGUUCUACUCUCUACUCUACCCAAGACACUUGCUGUUGGAUGGAAGCUGUCUGGUUUCAGUACAUACCUAAAUAUGCUGAGCCAGGCACGCCUUACUGCUGGAUAGGAGCUGUCUUAAGUUGCUAGAGCUGAGGAGACAGCCGGGCACUCCUUGCUGCUGGAUGGGAACCGUCUACAUUUGCUAGAGUGUUCCUCUGGCUGCAGUCUUCUCUCAUAAGAAUGAGGGGGAUAAUGAUCCCUGCCCUGACUCUCCACACAGCCAGGGAGAGCGCGAGUAACGUGUGCACGCACACGAGCAUGCACACGCACACACACACACACACACACACACACACACACACACACUACUGGAUGUCUUUCUGGAUGUCAGUGUUGUUUUAAUUAAUUAUGUGUGUGUCUUUUGUAAAAAAUAAAAAAAAAUAA